UGGGGAAUAUUGCACAAUGGGGGAAACCCUGAUGCAGCGACGCCGCGUGAGUGAGGAAGUAUUUCGGUAUGUAAAGCUCUAUCAGCAGGGAAGAAAAUGACGGUACCUGACUAAGAAGCCCCGGCUAACUACGUGCCAGCAGCCGCGGUAAUACGUAGGGGGCAAGCGUUAUCCGGAUUUACUGGGUGUAAAGGGAGCGUAGACGGAAUUGCAAGUCUGAUGUGAAAAUCCGGGGCCCAACCCCGGAACUGCAUUGGAAACUGUAUUUCUAGAGUGUCGGAGAGGCAAGUGGAAUUCCUGGUGUAGCGGUGAAAUGCGUAGAUAUCAGGAGGAACACCAGUGGCGAAGGCGGCUUGCUGGACGAUGACUGACGUUGAGGCUCGAAAGCGUGGGGAGCAAA
rnacentral:rRNA from 1 species